CGUCCACAUAGCUUAACACCAAA
rnacentral:tRNA from 5 species